GUAGGGUGCAAGCGUUAAUCGGAAUUACUGGGCGUAAAGCGUGCGCAGGCGGGUUUUGUAAGUCUGUCGUGAAAGCCCCGGGGCUCAACCUGGGGAAUUGCGAUGGAGACUGCAAGGCUUGAAUCUGGCAGAGGGGGGUAGAAUUCCACGUGUAGCAGUGAAAUGCGUAGAGAUGUGGAGGAACACCGAUGGCGAAGGCAGCCCCCUGGGUCAAGAUUGACGCUCAUGCACGAAAGCGUGGGGAGCAAACAGGAUUAGAUACCCUGGUAGUCCACGCCCUAAACGAUGUCUACUAGUUGUCGGGUUUUAAUUAACUUGGUAACGCAGCUAACGCGUGAAGUAGACCGCCUGGGGAGUACGGUCGCAAGAUUA
rnacentral:rRNA from 1 species